GUGAGGAAUAUUGCGCAAUGGACGAAAGUCUGACGCAGCCAUGCCGCGUGAAGGAUUGACGGCCCUAUGGGUUGUAAACUUCUUUUGUAUAGGAAUAAACCCUCGUUCGUGAACGAGGCUGAAGGUACUAUAAGAAUAAGCACCGGCUCACUCCGUGCCAGCAGCCGCGGUAAUACGGAGGGUGCAAGCGUUAUCCGGAUUUAUUGGGUUUAAAGGGUCCGUAGGCGGAUCGUUAAGUCAGUGGUGAAAUCCUACCGCUCAACGGUAGAACUGCCAUUGAUACUGGCGAUCUUGAGUAUGUAUGAAGUUGGCGGAAUGUGUGGUGUAGCGGUGAAAUGCUUAGAUAUCACACAGAACACCGAUUGCGAAGGCAGCUGACUAAUACACAACUGACGCUGAGGGACGAAAGUGUGGGGAUCAAACAGGAUUAGAAACCCGAGUAGUCC
rnacentral:rRNA from 1 species